rnacentral:lncRNA from 1 species
GAUGUUUUGUCAUGGCAGUAGAAAAAGUAUUGCGAUUUUUGCUUCUUGGAUAGUGGUCGGACUUUGUGUCUACUCUCCCUUCUCAGUGCUGGGAUUUGUUUCUGUCUGGAACUUGUGCAGGUUUUGAGGUUUUAUGUACUUAAGCCCCAUUGUGUUUGCUUGAAGUCAUCUACCACCUCUGACUCUUGUAAUCUUUCUGCUCCUUUUCCAUGUAGAUCCUCAAGCUCUGAGGGGAGAGGUGUUAUAAAGGCAUUCAAUUUAGAACUCAGAGCUCCAAAGUCACCCUCUAUAUAUUAUGCAGUUGUUGGUCUCUGUGUUUAUUACCACACACUUCAAGAAGAAGCUCUACUGAAGACAGUUGACUAGUGCACUCCUCUGAAGUUCUGGUGGGAACUCUGGGCUCAGGCUGCAGGGAGUCCCAGAGUGGUGCCUAUGUCUAUGCAAACUGUAACAACAAUGGGACUAGAAGAGAUUGUAAAUGCAGGAAGCAGACCAUCAUGGGAAGGUUAUGAAUCAACUUGACAGAUCUCUAUACUAGGACCUCACUUUUGCCUCAUGGAUGCCAUCAGCUUUAUAACGAAAUAUAAGUUCACCAAUGUUGCAAGUUUAGAGAACAUUUUGAGCCCAUCUCUAAAUAAAAUGAAAUGAGACAAAAAUGAAAGAAGAUAAAAACAAUUCAAAAUUGACCUUCACCCAGAAAAGUCCUUCCUGUUUUCAGUCAUCAGUGUUAAUAGUCAGUGAUGGUGUCUGUGUGCAAUUAAAACAUCUGGAUGAAAAAUGUUUCCAGUUCUCUGACACAGCACACCACACAAUGGGACAAUUGGAAACAUCUGGACACAGAAGAAUGGAGCUAUAAGGAUGUUAAAUCUCAAUGGAGAGCUUGAGGAACUCUGGUGACACCUGGGAGACUGGCAUCUGAUUAUGCCUGUGGGAAUGUUUUAGAUUAUAUUAAGUAACAUGGAAAGACCUUCCAGUUAUGCAUGGCACCAUUUCCUGCGCAGGGAUCCUGGACUGUUCAAAACAGAGACACUGAAAUGAACACAUGUGUUUGUGGUCCUCUGGUCCUUGAAGAGAUGCAAUGUUAUCAGUUGUCUCUUGGACUGAUGCUGCUGUGAGUUCUCCACAAUGAUGAGAUGUAUCCUAGAACUGUCAUCCAAAAUAAACUCUUUCUCCC